rnacentral:misc_RNA from 1 species
UCCGGUUUGGCACCGGCAGUCUCCCUAGAGUUCCCGGCAUCACCCGCUGGCAACUAAGGACAGGGGUUGCGCUCGUUGCGCCACUUGAGGCAACACCUCACGGCACGAGCUGACGACAGCCAUGCACCACCUGUGCAGGCUCCGAAGAGCACCCGCUUUCACGGGUUUCACCCUGCAUGUCAAGCCCAGGUAAGGUUCUUCGCGUUGCGUCGAAUUAAACCACAUGCUCCACCGCUUGUGCGGGCCCCCGUCAAUUCCUUUGAGUUUCAACCUUGCGGUCGUACUCCCCAGGCGGAACACUUAAUGCGUUAGCUGCGGCACUGGAGGGGUCGAUGCCCGCGACACCGAGCACUCAUCGUUUACAGCGUGGACUAC